GGAUGGCGAAGUCUGACAGCUUAGCUUUGCUAUCCCUCAUGGGCAAGUACGCUUCCUUUGCCCCCUCCAAUUCAUUGCAAGAGUAAUGUGUCUUGUCCUGCUGCCAAUACUACCACAAUGGAUUACCGUGCUUCUCUGAAUAGAGAUACUGGUUUUUGUAAGCCACAGUCCAGCUAGUAGGGACACAGAGCAAUCAAUGUACCCCAACACUGAACUGAAGUACAACUUCAAGGGACUCUAGCCAAGAAGAUAAUUCGUCUUCUUCAGGAAGAUGUGGUACAUAUAUUCCUCUAUAAGGGUUUUGAGGAAAACUGGACUCCUGAAGAAGAGAAUCUAAGCCAAAACGUGUGCUCUGAAGCGAGAUGGAACUCAGGUCAUAGGACCUCUUGUUUUCCCCUCUUGUGCUGCCUCCUCUUUUAAUCAGUGAUAUUACUGGGUUUGCAGUGGGGCUUUCAGGCUUCAGCAUCCAGACACUAGAUUAGCUGCGUUAAUGCAAACUGGGCAUUGGCAAACUAAGCCAAGACUUGCAGCAGUGCAGCUUCCCAGCUGCUUCAACUCAGAAUUAACUGUUCUUGGCAGACAACAACACAGAGGCUGGGACAAGGUAAACAUACUUUAACUGCCUAUAUUCUAGGGACAGUCAGCAAAAAAAGCGGUGUCACUUGUGAACAGCUCUUGACAUUUGAAGAGCUGUUUUCCAUUCUGUAUCAGACAAAAAAUGAGACCUUUCAAAACUUUCCAGUGG